AUUGAACGCUGGCGGCAGGCCUAACACAUGCAAGUCGAGCGGUAGCACAGAGAGCUUGCUCUCGGGUGACGAGCGGCGGACGGGUGAGUAAUGUCUGGGAAACUGCCUGAUGGAGGGGGAUAACUACUGGAAACGGUAGCUAAUACCGCAUAACGUCGCAAGACCAAAGAGGGGGACCCUCGGGCCUCUUGCCAUCGGAUGUGCCCAGAUGGGAUUAGCUUGUUGGUGGGGUAACGGCUCACCAAGGCGACGAUCCCUAGCUGGUCUGAGAGGAUGACCAGCCACACUGGAACUGAGACACGGUCCAG
rnacentral:rRNA from 1 species